UACGGAGGGUGCGAGCGUUGUCCGGAAUCACUGGGCGUAAAGGGCGCGUAGGCGGCUGUGUAAGUCACUUGUGAAAUCCCGGGGCUCAACUCCGGGGCUGCAGGUGAGACUGCGUGGCUAGAGCACGGUAGAGGCGAGUGGAAUUCCCGGUGUAGCGGUGGAAUGCGUAGAUAUCGGGAAGAACACCGGUGGCGAAGGCGGCUCGCUGGGCCGUUGCUGACGCUGAGGCGCGAAAGCGUGGGGAGCAAACAGG
rnacentral:rRNA from 1 species